CUGUCAUCAGAUACACAGCUGGGAAAGCCUGUCUGCAGAUGAAGAGGUCCCAAUGAAGAGCAGCGGUUCUCAGCCCUGGUCCUGGGGACUCAGAGCACAAAGUACUCUGCAGCCACCAGGUUAUAUCAGCUGUGUUGGUGAACCCCUCCCGCAUCUGAACUGGCAGACAGCGGGCACAGCCUGAUCAUAG